GAGGCAAACUCUGCUAAUACACGCGUCUGCGCGAGACUAACGGCCUGACGCUCCCGGGCUCCGGUCCAGAUCGCUACUUCAACAUCGGAAAUAUGGAAAUGUGGCUCGGGCAGGACUCACGGAGUAAUCCAAUCCAUCCACAGCGACUCUCUCCGCCCCCUUCCCUUGUGUCCGACUUUGAGGAACUUCACACUGGGAAGCCGUUUUCGCCAAACGCGCGCCCUGAAUUAGUCGCGUCCAAACUUUUAUUUGUCGAAGAACAUAAACGGGAUGCGGUGGCACACACCGCCAGAACACCCCUUUUAGCCGCAGCAGUGUCGAAAACUUAUUCCAUUCGGGAAAAACCUGAUUACUCAAUGCGCAAAGCGCCUGAAGGCGAAUGGAGCUGAAGGGAUUUUUCUCGCUCCGCGCGGGACUGAUGCCUGAUCUCCAGUAAAAGAUGUGGAAAGAUGAAUACGAGGUGCAUUUCGACUUUCUUCUAGGACUUCUUAAGAGAACACACAAAGGAGGAUUUGUGUUUUUGGCUAACUGACAAGGCCAUGGCAACUCCUUCACACCUCGCUCUAUUCAUCCAACACACCCUCUCCGAAGGCAUCAGAACGGGCAGAGAGAGACGCUGGCAUAUUCUGCAAUAAUUUUGUAGUCGCGGAUGAAAUCAGGAAUCAUUUAUCACCUUGAACUACUGCUCACCACUGGAAUUACAGUAUGUACCCUGAGCAAUCCUGCUUGCUUAACUCCUCGCUCUGUGCCGUGUGAGAUUUGUCGGGGCUUUUCUAGGGCAUUGUGGGUAAUGCUGAUGGAGGGGCCAUCUGCUUGGGAGGGACACAAAUUACACCCUCUUUCUAUACGCCGGGAACACCAGGUUCUACUGGCACCAUGGCAACCAACACAUUACCGUUCCUUAUCGAGUUUGAAGCAAAUGCAAUUGUGCUAAUCAAAUUAUGCAAAAAAUUUGACUCAUCCACAAUGAAAAUGACAGCCAUAAUUUAUUCAGAAGGCUGUGGAUGCGCAUCAAGACUAAACUGUUGACCAGUAAGCAUAUUCCAUCUGUAUUCGCAGUGUGUUUCUCUUCAUGUCUCCUCAUAGAGUGAUGACAGCAUCCUUUUAAUUUGUCCUUUGCAAUUCAUUUGGCCAUGGCUGCAUUUAGUUAAUCAAAAAUACAGUAAAAACAGUAAUAUUCUGAAAUAAUCAAAACAUUUAGAAGAACAGUUUUCUGUGUUCAUAUAUUUUAAAAUGUAA